GGGCCCAUAGCUCAGCCGGUUAGAGCACCUGCCUUUUAAGCAGGGUGUCGUGAGUUCAAGCCUCACUGGGCCCUCCA
rnacentral:tRNA from 2 species